rnacentral:rRNA from 1 species
CCCGCUGAACUUAAGCAUAUCAAUAAGCGGAGGAAAAGAAACCAACAGGGAUUGCCUCAGUAACUGCGAGUGAAGCGGCAACAGCUCAAAUUUGAAAGCUGGCUCUGUUAUGGCCCGCGUUGUAGUUUGCAGAGGAUGCUUCGUGUGCGGAGUUCGUUUUAGUUCUUUGGAACAAGACGUCAUAGAGGGUGAGAAUUCGGUAUGUGACAGGCUGCGUGAGCGUAUGUGAAGCUCGUUCGACGAGUCGAGUUGUUUGGGAAUGCAGCUCAAAAUGGGUGGUGUACUUCAUCUAAAGAUAAAUAUAGGCCAGACACUGAUAGCGCACAAGUAGACUGAUCGAGAGAUGAAAAGCACUUAGGAAAGAGAGUUCAGCAGUAUGUGAAAUUGUUGAAAGGGAAGCUCUUGCAAUCAGACUUUCGCGGUGUCGAUCUACGUGGGUUCUUCGUGGUUCACUUGAAGCUGGUCAGACCAGCAUCAGUUUCGGCGGUUGGAUAAAGCCCUAGGGAACGUGGGUUAAUUCGGAGACUGUAAUAGCCCUAGCUGCAAUGCAUCGUGCUGGGACUGAGGACCGCGCUUCGGCUAGGAUGCUGGCGUAAUGGUUGUAAGCGACCCGUCUUGAAACACGG